CCUACGGGAGGCAGCAGUAAGGAAUAUUGGUCAAUGGACGAAAGUCUGAACCAGUCAUGCCGCGUGAAGGAUGAAGGUCCUCUGGAUUGUAAACUUCUUUUAUAUGGGACGAAAAAAGGGUUUUCUAACUCGUCUGACGGUACCAUAUGAAUAAGCACCGGCUAACUACGUGCCAGCAGCCGCGGUAAU
rnacentral:rRNA from 1 species